CCUAGAAACACGCGCGGCCGGCUCCCAGCCCUGCCCCCUGCCGGCACAGCCCCCGCCGGGCCGGGCAGCGCCGCCGGGACCCCCCCGCCGCCGGGGCUCGGCCGCUCCGCUCCUCCGGCGGGGGCUCUGCCGCUUUCCCCCCGCCACCGGGGGCCCGGUCCUGCCGCGCUCGAGUUCUGCGAGCCCCGGCGGGGAGGGAGGAAGGGAUAGAGGGAGGAGACAGUCCCGCCGCCCGCCCCACCAGCGCCGGGGCCGCCGUGCGGGGCCUGGCAGGGUUGGCGCCCGCUGGUGCCCCAGCGACAGAAGGCACCGCGUGCGGGGGCACCGAGCGCGGCCCUGCCGGGGCUCCCGGGGCUGGAACCGCGGACCGGCAACGUGGCCGGGAAGAGGAGACACCUCUGGUCUUAAAUCACCGGUGGGUGCGGAUGUCCAGACCGGGGUGCUCCUUUAUGAGCACGCUGUAAACGAGGGAGCCUCCGUCUUUCCACCUACCCCAGGCACCAGCUUCCUGCAAAGGGCGCUCCAUUGAAACUCAAGAAUGUCACCUUGAUGGAGAGAACAACUUCUUGAAAGGAGUAAUCUGCUUGGAGCAACAAAAGCCACCUCCUUCAGAAAUACACCCACAGAAGCGUGCAAGGCCAGGACAAUAACGUCACGUCAGGGUGUAAUUAAAACUCCUGAGUAGUUACAGCUCCUCAUUGACAGUCUUUUAUGUAAUGACUGAACGCAGUUAAGGUAACGACCUUCCCCAUACUGACAUGUCUGCACAAACAUACAAUUACCACGGAGAUGGAAAGCAGCCUGACAAACAUUUUGCUCAGGGAACAAGAAAGCCAUCAAGGAGGUCCCGAGCCCUUUUCCAGCCUUGCUGCUCCUGACUUCUUCAGGACAUUGCAUCAAGCCCUGAAGGCAGGGACAGAGGCCAGAAGGUGCUCAUAUAUUAAUAAGUCCUCCUUGCCCAGCAGAUGCCCUUUCUUGGCAAAACUCUCCCUUUCUGUAGAAGAUCAAGCAUGUGUUGUUGCACAACUGACCGGCAGUUUUACAGAACAAGCUCGGACUGGCUUUCUGGGGGCACUGAGACAUGAGACGAGAGAUAUUGACAACAUCCUAACAAACAAAAAAAAAUAUAAAGACAAAAGCUAUCCAUGGUUUCUCACUCAAGAAACAUCCACCCUUAGAAGCCUAUUUUUCCUAGUCUUUUUCGUUCUUGCAGGGUGAAAGUGAAUAAGCAAUAGUAAGCAUGGAAAGACGACCAAAUCAACAGAAAGAGAUGAGUUAAACUCAAGUUUGCAUGACAGAAGUUGCACAGAAGUGCUGUGGGAAGACAAAGGCAUUCAUAUUCAGAUCUGAAUUAGUGAGAGCUAUAUGAAAUCUGGACCAAAGGAUAAUAAAAGCAAAAGUCUGCUAACGGUG